GCUGGCGGCAGGCUUACACAUGCAAGUCGAGCGCACCUUCGGGUGAGCGGCGGACGGGUUAGUAACGCGUGGGAACAUACCCUUUGGUACGGAAUAGCCUCUGGAAACGGAGAGUAAUACCGUAUGAGCCCUUCGGGGGAAAGAUUUAUCGCCAAAGGAUUGGCCCGCGUUAGAUUAGGUAGUUGGUGGGGUAAUGGCCUACCAAGCCUACGAUCUAUAGCUGGUUUUAGAGGAUGAUCAGCAACACUGGGACUGAGACACGGCCCAGACUCCUACGGGAGGCAGCAGUGGGGAAUCUUGGACAAUGGGGGCAACCCUGAUCCAGCCAUGCCGCGUGAGUGAUGAAGGCCUUAGGGUCGUAAAGCUCUUUCGCCUGUGAAGAUAAUGACGGUAGCAGGUAAAGAAACCCCGGCUAACUCCGUGCCAGCAGCCGCGGUAAUACGGAGGGGGUUAGCGUUGUUCGGAAUUACUGGGCGUAAAGCGCACGUAGGCGGACUGGAAAGUUGGGGGUGAAAUCCCAGGGCUCAACCCUGGAACUGCCUCCAAAACUAUCAGUCUAGAGUUCGAGAGAGGUGAGUGGAAUUCCGAGUGUAGAGGUGAAAUUCGUAGAUAUUCGGAGGAACACCAGUGGCGAAGGCGGCUCACUGGCUCGAUACUUGACCUGAGGUGC
rnacentral:rRNA from 1 species